UUUAAUUAAAGAAUUUUCAAAACAUGAUUUACUGCCAGUGCCAGACAGACCAGGAAGACGGUGGAGUAAUCCAUAUGAAGUUCCAACCAUGAAAGAGAUCACUGGCUUCAAUGACCAGGAUGGAUACAACAGCAGCUGAACCACCAGAGGAGAGAGAAAGAUCCCAUGUGUGGGAAGUGUAGACCCAGUGCACUUCCAGAAGUCUAAGAACUGUAUGUUUUCUAUUCUUCUGAUGGUCAAAUCUGUGGUCAAAGCAGGUCAGAUCAAGCCAGAGUUGCCAGAAGUUGAUGGUUGCUCAAAAAAAGAACAUUUACACAGUUAUACAACAUUUAGAACAAUUAUGCAAUCAACAUGACAAAAGAAGUUAUGAAUAUCCUGCCAAUUUUCAUUGUUUAUAUUGAUGUUUAUAAUAGAUGAUUGACAGAAAAAGGUUUUCUAUGAAAUAAUUAUACUACAAAUAAUUCCAACCCUGCAAUGUGAUUGGCUGAAAGGCGUUCUAUGAGUACGAAUAUCAGCUGGUAAUGCACUGUAACUGAAGCUCUACAUGUAUUACUGUAUUACUUCGCCACAUACAGGUAACCUAGCAACGAUGCAGCAGCGCUUACAAACCAAACAGCGCAGCUACAAACAGAGCAGCAAUGGAACUAUUUUAACUGGAGGAGUUUUUAUAACAAACAGAUUCUCCUCUUUCUCCUCCUCUUAACUCUUUAAAAUCUUUCAAUAAACAGUGAUAAUGGAACUGUGGUAUAAUCACAAUAAUGCACAGUGCCAAUAUUACACGUUAUAGCACAAACCUCGAGUGUAUUAUUGCUUAGUUAUAUUUGUGGUGAAACACCUUUAUAAGUUGAAGAACAUCAAAAAAAGUUGAAUAGUUCUCAAUAAUCAACUCAUUCAUGAUUAUUUGAAUUGUUUUAUUUGUUUAUUUUUUUUUGUAUUAUCUCUGUUGUUUCAUCACUUCUGGUUGUAAUCUUUAUACUUUUGACUGUGAUUGAUAUUAUAUUGUUUAUGUUUAUCCUUAAACAUUACUCUCUAAUAUGGAGAAAUUGUGGACUUUGCUCAGUACUCCAUCUUAUACUCUGUGCAAAGAGUGUAAUGAUGCUCAUUGCUAUCUUACACCCUGCCAACCAAUAUACCAAUAUACUGUAUCUAUACUAAGGGGUGUGGUUGUCACACCCUAACCUUUGUAUGUCUUGCGUGUUUUCUUUUUUGUCCCUUCUGUUCCUGUCCUGACUUUCAGCCUGUUGUGUUUUCUUCCCCCAUGUGUGUUUCAAGCACAUGACCCUGUGUUAUUGUCUUGUCUCUUCCUGAGCCCCGCCCUAGCCAUUAGUAUUGUCACCUUGUGUCUUGUUUGAAACCCCUCCCCCUCGUUUUCUUCUCCAUGUAUUCCUUACCGUACUCGUGUAUAUAAGCCCCUUUGUUUUAAUGUUCCUUGUCGAGUCUUUUGUAGAUUCUUUGUAAUUUAUGUAUGUGCUGUUUCAUGGUUUCAGGUCUUCUUCUUUCUGUUUUUCUAUGUUUUCUAAGUUAUACUUAUUCAGUCUAGUUUUCUAUAGUCCUGUUUUCUUUGGUCCUGUAUUUACAAUUAGUUUUCAUAGUCUUGUUUAAUUGUUUUUGAUUUUUGCAUUUACCCUUGUUUGCUUUCUGUUUUGCUUUUGUUUAUCAUUUAUCAUUUUAUUAAAUUAAUAUUAUACAUUUUUUCAACAAAAAAUUCUAAGCAUUUUCAAACAAAACUAACAAAUCCACCCUGAAAGAAGACACACUUACACUGUGUUUUCUGUUAUAGUGCAGUUUAUUACUACUUUUACUUUAAAGGUUUUCUGAUCAUAGUUAAUCUGUCUUUGAAAAGCUGUGUUUUUUAUAAGCGGUGCAGA